UCACGCUAGGCUCCAUCUUGUCUCCUCUGCUCCCUCUCAGCCGACUCCUUGGACAUACCAGACAGAGUACCCAGUAAAAGCAACUCACAGUUCAACUUUAAAUUCAAUUUUAGCAGUAAUUCUGUUAAAAUUCAAGUGCUUGUGGGACAGAUUGUGACUCACACAGGCACCCUGCUGCUUGCAUAAGGUCAUGCAUGUCCUCCUUUAUGAACCCGGUGAGGGUAAUGUUAUUAGAGAUGAUAGCCCCUCGGUCUUAUCGCCACUGCUGGUUAUGCUCUGUCACCAGCUGCACUUUUAUAUGACAACAGUCAGUAUUGGUUGUGCCUCUGCUUUGGGGGUUUUUCUGAUUAAGUGCCAAAAACAAGUGUGUAUUUGUGUUCCUGUUGUGCUUAGUGCCUUCUGUUGGAGCAGCCUGUUAAGCUUGUUAUAGUCAAAGUUAAGUCUCUGUCCAUAAUAUUUCACUCUUCUGCCUAUUUAUUAUGUACCAAUCUUUGGAAGACUACUAAAAUGAUAAACCAAGGUCCUGUUUGGGUGAGGUUUUGGGAAAGUCAGACAUGUCUUAGGUAUUCAGUGACAAUCAGACUCUAAAUGCUGCAGAAAAACCUGCGUGCCUUUUACGGUGCUUCUUCGAAUUUACAGGGUAGUGUCAUAGCUCAGCUGUCUUUUCACUCUUAGUCAUAUUUUGAAGACGUACGCAUUUCUAAACUUUAAUCAGCUCUUGGUAUGAAAGGGCUACUGCCCCUAACCCCUAACAGCUUUCUGAUAUCUUUCUCAAGUCCAUUUAAUCAAGCGGCAGUCAUUCCAGAUAUGUUUCGACUCGUCUCAGAUUCACUGGGAACUCCCUGACUUCCCCACAGAGGCCACUGAGCCUAACGUCACGACUGUUUCUGAUGUUAAUAUUCACUCGCCUUAACCUUUGCUUCAAGUUGCUGUUGGCUCCUCCUGCACCGGCCUAACAAAAUUUCACAUCCACGUGACAACUUUGUACUUUCGGUGAUGCUAAUUUUUAGGCAGUAUUUGUUGAAGAACGCGUAAGUAUUUAUGAAAAGAUGCUGUAUGCUAUUAAACUGAAGAUAAAAC
ensembl:lncRNA